rnacentral:lncRNA from 1 species
CCUCUCCAGCAACAACUGAUGCUGGUGAUAACACUCCUAUUUAGAAAUCCUCCUUCUAUGUUUCUAUGUCUUCAUUCUUCUAAUUUUGCAUCUUUGUCCAGUUUCUGACUGUUCCUCACUAUUCCAAAAUGAAUUUUGUUCUCUUUCUUCUUCUCUCUUCUAUUUCUACAGUUUGAGCUACAAUCAAUCGAUUAUUUUCAUCAAUACAUCCCUAGGCUUUACCUCUCUUUACAUCUCAAAAUCGCCUCUGCAACAUCAUAUGUCCAAGACAGAACUCCCCUUCCUCCUGCAUAACUCACCAUAGCUCAGCUGAACUAACUAAAAAAUCCAAGAACUGAAAGAAGACAGAACAAGAGAAAGAGGAUACAACAAUUAGAUGCCAGUCGUGUUCUUGAGAGGAUAUUCUAGGGAAAGAACGAGUUUCUCUCUCCUCACGGCUGCCUGGGACACAUGCGGAGUCGAUUGUCACAUUAAAAAGCCGAGGGAUAAGCAAAAACACAUCCAAAGCAGGCAGCCAGAAGGAAGAGAAGUCUGGGGUCCAAGUCACAGGAUGCACAUUGGAGGCAACUGGGAAUGCCUCCUCUGCAGAGGGGACAAGUAAGGAGCAAUACAGUCACUGAUUCAAACAUCUGGAGCACUCAAAGGUAGAUGUCUUUAAAUGUGUUUGUGCAGUCAUGGAGGGCAAAUUCUAGCCCUCCAAGCAAGUGAGUGUGUGGUGGCCAAAAGCCUCCAUCCUCCUCCUUCCCUUGGUUUUCCUGAGUCCCCAUUUUGCUACUU